AAAAGAACCUAUAUCCAAAGAGCUGGGUUCUCCUUUCGGAUGUGAUGUUGAACAGUUUCUCUGUGUGCUUCAUCUCCACCUCCCUCCCAGCUUUUAUGUCCCUUCUACUUCGUCUUCAAACUCGAGUUCAAAUCUCCUUCCCUCUGAAAACCCCCUCUCGACUGUGCUACCCAUUGUAAAGACCGACUCUUCAGUGAAGACACAGAAUCAGCAUUUGGGAGAUGCGGAGACCAGGGACGACUCCUUCCUCCUGGGAGAGCUGGGAUUCCAGUCCUGGGAGUGAUUCUGGGUCAUCAGGCCGGAGAAUCACACUCUCUGCUAUCAGCAUCCAACCUACUCGAGUCCUGACCCCACACUGCCAGGAGAGUCCAGCAAGCCCUGAGGGCCUGAGCACAGCCAGGCUGGACACUGGAGGCAGCCCCGGGAGAUGGUUGGACCUCCUAGGUGACGCCAAAAUCCAUCUCUCCACUAAAGAUGUUUAUCUAGCUGCAGACAAACUUUCAAACCUUCUCUUGGCUCCUCGCCCAGAAGAUCUGCCAGGGAAGCACAGAAUGGAGAAGGAGGAGGGGUAGACAAGCACACUUUGUGCUUAGGGACUCUCUUUUCCUUCCCCCAAUCUUCUACUCUCCCACUACUGUGUUUUUCUAAUACUGUCUACUCUUCAUCAUGGUUGAGAAGCUACUGAGCUGGUGUUUCCUAAAUUCUAGAACUAGUGCCUGAUUAAUUAGCAAAUAAUUACAAAACAAUAUACAACCUCCAGAUGAAAAGCUUAAUUGCAGAGUAUUACGUCAGGACCUUAGAAUUAAUAGCAUAUAAUAUUUACACUAUUCUAUUGCUGAUCUCUGACCACUUCCACAAUUUCCGCAGAAAUUAGAUAUUGUCUUUUUUAGCUAUAAUUGUCUCAAAGGGAAAAAGAAAAGCUGACAUGACAGUGCAGUCCUUCCAAAUAGAACUUCAUGAUCAGUUCAUUGACUUGGAGGCAUCUUAAAGAAAAUUUUAAGAUCACCUAGAUCAAAUCAUCCAUUUUAUAAAUAGGUAAAGUGAAGCCCACAGAGGCUUUGGGGACAGUUUCCAAAGUCAUUAAUCAGCGUUUCAAUUCCAUUCCUCCCAUGUGUGGGGCUCAAUCUCUCCUUCCUUUACACGGUGGAGAGCAUGGCUUUCUUCCUGCGGUCCAGUGUCACCAGGCUUAUGUCUUCAUAGCUCAUUUCCGAGGAGAUGGGGGAAUCUUGCCUCAUAGCUUUUGGCUUUCAAAGUGCAUGAGAAAACCCUUGUGGGUCCAGCUUGGUCAUUCUGCUACAGCGUGGACUAUGUUCCACGGACAAACAGAAGAGACACCAUGAUUAACCAGGUCUGUGUUACAGGACUAUGCUCUAAGCAAGGAAAAGGUCACUGAAAUUAGGGAUCCCCACCAGUGAACCAUGACAAAAAUGAGUGGAAGAUUGGUGUUCCCAGUGGAAAUAGUGGAAAGAUGGCUGCUAUGUCCCUUCUCCUAGCAUUGGCCUUAUGGAGCCUCACAGUGAUGAUUCGUCUGAUCAACUAUGGAUGAUGAUA
ensembl:lincRNA